GACGAACGCUGGCGGCGUGCUUAACACAUGCAAGUCGAGCGAGGCCCCUCCUUCGGGAGGGUGUCCUAGCGGCGAACGGGUGAGUAACACGUGGGCAACCUGCCCUCAGCUCUGGGAUAACUCCGGGAAACCGGGGCUAAUACCGGAUACGACCUCCACGGGCAUCUGCGGAGGUGGAAAGUUUUUCGGCUGAGGAUGGGCCCGCGGCCUAUCAGCUAGUUGGUGGGGUAGUGGCCCACCAAGGCGACGACGGGUAGCCGGCCUGAGAGGGCGACCGGCCACACUGGGACUGAGACACGGCCCAGACUCCUACGGGAGGCAGCAGUGGGGAAUAUUGCGCAAUGGGCGAAAGCCCGACGCAGCGACGCCGCGUGAGGGACGAAGGCCUUCGGGUUGUAAACCUCUUUCAGCAGGGACGAAGCGAAAGUGACGGUACCUGCAGAAGAAGCACCGGCCAACUACGUG
rnacentral:rRNA from 1 species